UAGGGAAUAUUGCACAAUGGAGGAAACUCUGAUGCAGCGACGCCGCGUGAGUGACGAAGGCCUUCGGGUCGUAAAGCUCUGUUCUCAGGGAAAAAGCAAGUGAUUGUACCUGAGAAGAAAGGACCGGCUAACUUCGUGCCAGCAGCCGCGGUAAGACGAGGGGUCCAAGCGUUGUUCGGAAUUAUUGGGCGUAAAGCGGGUGUAGGCGGCUCUAUAAGUCAGAAGUGAAAGCCCCGGGCUUAACCUGGGAAGUGCUUUUGAUACUGCAGAGCUUGAAUGUGGGAGAGGGUAGUGGAAUUCCAGGUGUAGUGGUGAAAUACGUAGAUAUCUGGAGGAACACCGGUGGCGAAGGCGGCUACCUGGCCCAACAUUGACGCUGAGACCCGAAAGCAUGGGGAUCAAACAG
rnacentral:rRNA from 1 species